rnacentral:rRNA from 1 species
CUACGUGCCAGCAGCCGCGGUAAUACGGAAGGUCCGGGCGUUAUCCGGAUUUAUUGGGUUUAAAGGGAGCGUAGGCUGGAGAUUAAGUGUGUUGUGAAAUGUAGACGCUCAACGUCUGAAUUGCAGCGCAUACUGGUUUCCUUGAGUACGCACAACGUUGGCGGAAUUCGUCGUGUAGCGGUGAAAUGCUUAGAUAUGACGAAGAACUCCGAUUGCGAAGGCAGCUGACGGGAGCGCAACUGACGCUUAAGCUCGAAGGUGCGGGUAUCAAACAGGAUUAGAUACCCUGGUAGUCCGCACAGUAAACGAUGGAUGCCCGUUGUUAGUUCACUUAUGAAUUAGCGACCAAGCGAAAGCAUUAAGCAUCCCACCUGGGGAGUACGCCGGCAACGGUGAAACUCAAAGGAAUUGACGGGGGCCCGCACAAGCGGAGGAACAUGUGGUUUAAUUCGAUGAUACGCGAGGAACCUUACCCGGGCUUGAAUUGCAGAGGAAGGAUUUAGAGAUA